GGAAGAAGCUCAAUGACUACGGAGAUACGGAAUUUUCUAAUUGUGCACUUCAAAAGAAUACCAUAAAGGCUCAUCAUCUUAAUCAAUUAUUGAUUACACCUUGGGACUUUCCACCAAUUCCAUUUGAUGCUGCUUUUAAAAUGACUUUUAUGGAGUCUACUCCGGUGCUGAUCUUUACAUGGAAAUAACAGAAAAUUCCAAGAAAUGGAAGCUGCUGCUAGUAAAAGAAGAAAAGCUGAGUAUCAUCAGGGUUAAUAGCUCCUAUUUGAGAUCCAUGAAUGAUUAUAGAGUUACUUUUGUAUAUCGAACUUUCAAGUUUCAUUAAUAAUAUGGUGCCUCUCCAGGACAUAGGUGUACUCAUGGUACGAAGGCUAUUUAUUCAUCACAUGAA
rnacentral:lncRNA from 1 species